rnacentral:rRNA from 1 species
AUGUCGAUAUGUGCUUGCUUCGGUGCCGAUCCGCAGGCGUUUGUCGGUUUAGUGUCCAAGGUUUUUUGGCCCAAAGAUGAUGAUUGGUACAAGGGUUCCAUCACGGCCUACACGGAACUAACCAAUAAUUCUGGAUACGACGAGCUACUUGCACUUGCUGUCAUCUUUCAUGACUACCAAGGUCUUGAUCGAGAUAAUAUAGCGUGGGCUAAAAUAACAGGUCAUGCAGUGUGGCCAGUUGUUAUAGUGGACGAGUCAAAUGUUCAUGCUAGCCGGGCCCUGAAGUCAAUUCGGUUUGAUCAAUCAAUACUUGUUCAAUUCUUUGGCACCCAUGAUUUUACAAGGUUUCUCCUCACACAAAAGCUUCCAGAAAAUAUGUUGCAACUUUGGAAAUCCAUUCAAAAUGAUGGUUCUGAUGAUAAUGGCCAAGAUGACGCGAUAGGCUCUUGUAAUAAUUUAUCAGAAGAAAAUGGAGAGGAUGCUGAAAUGACUCAGAUAGAACUAGGAAAUCUUCGUGUGAGCAACCUAUUUUUCCUUGGUGGGAGACACAAGCAGACUUGGCACUUCUGGAUAGUGGAGUUAUAUCUGUUCCAGAGGAUAGUAUCUGAUUCAGACCAUUUCCAUAACAAAAUGCACAUAUGGCCUGAAGAGUAUGCUGCUUUCAGGAAGUUCGCAUCGGUAAAAGUUUACUCUCAUGAGUGGGUUUGUGCUGCUGUUACUGCAGUCCCUUGUCCCGCUGGAAGACUUGGCUUCUUCACUGAAGCUGGGGAAUUUCGGGCUUUGUUUGAUGGUGUUGCUCCUCUUUCGAGGAAGAUACAUUUAGAGGAGACUCGGGAAGACAUGAAAGCUGCGACCAAAUUGCAAUGGUAA